UCAUAUUUUACCACUAAAAGUUUUGAACGGUUGAACUAUUAUCGUAACGGUGGGUUUAUGAAUGAAAUUUUGUGCAUCUUCUUUGUUUUUACUUUGUGAUAAGUUUUACCGAUAGGUAAUUCAGUUGGGAGAAAUUUAAAAAUAGCCAGAUUUAUAAGUGGUCGUUCAAAAAUAGCCGAAUUUUAAAUGUAAUCGAAAAUUAGUCACUUUUUUUUGUAAAGAUAAAUCUGAACGAAAAUACUGUUCAAAAUACAAAAAAUACUCCAACAUAAUAUACCUGAGUUCCAGUAUAUUAUACUGGGAGUGUGGUACAUCGGUGCUCCAGUCUCCAAUAUAUUUUACUGGAACCAGUAAAGUAUACCCGUCCAGCAUAAUAUGCUGAAAGUUCAUACACGGGUGCACCGAACUCCAGUAUAUUAUGCUGG
rnacentral:lncRNA from 1 species